rfam:Stegodyphus mimosarum contig79628, whole genome shotgun sequence.
AAAGAGGCAUUUUUCAAUGCCACAAAUCUAAUAUACUGGGUGAAU